rnacentral:rRNA from 1 species
UACGAAGGGGGCGAGCGUUGUUCGGAAUUACUGGGCGUAAAGAGCUCGUAGGUGGUUUGUCGCGUUGUUCGUGAAAUCUCACGGCUUAACUGUGAGCGUGCGGGCGAUACGGGCAGACUAGAGUACUGCAGGGGAGACUGGAAUUCCUGGUGUAGCGGUGGAAUGCGCAGAUAUCAGGAGGAACACCGGUGGCGAAGGCGGGUCUCUGGGCAGUAACUGACGCUGAGGAGCGAAAGCGUGGGGAGCGAACAGG